UGGUGGUGUGAAUUGUCUGGUCAAUUCCGAUAACGAACGAGACCUUAACCUACUAAAUAAGUGAGGCACAGGCAACCCUGAAGUAAGGGAUGCUUCUAUUGGGUAUUAAGCAAUUAAUGCUUGAUAGGAGUAUUCCUCAGAGAACUGACUGUGAAAGAAAAACCCAUUUUUAACUAAAUGAGGACUCACUUCUUAGAGGGACUAUUUGUGUUUAUAACCAGCAAAUGGAAGUUUGAGGCAAUAA
rnacentral:rRNA from 1 species